rnacentral:rRNA from 1 species
GACGAACGCUGGCGGCGUGCUUAACACAUGCAAGUCGAACGGAAAGGCCCUGCUUUUGUGGGGUGCUCGAGUGGCGAACGGGUGAGUAACACGUGAGUAACCUGCCCUUGACUUUGGGAUAACUUCAGGAAACUGGGGCUAAUACCGGAUAGGAGCUCCUGCUGCAUGGUGGGGGUUGGAAAGUUUCGGCGGUUGGGGAUGGACUCGCGGCUUAUCAGCUUGUUGGUGGGGUAGUGGCUUACCAAGGCUUUGACGGGUAGCCGGCCUGAGAGGGUGACCGGCCACAUGGGGACUGAGAGACGGCCCAGACGCCUACGGGAGGCAGCAGUGGGGAAUAUUGCACAACGGGCGGAAGCCUGAUGCAGCAACGCCGCGUGCGGGAUGAAGGCCUUCGGGUUGUAAAACGCUUUCGCCUGUGACGAAGCGUGAGUGACGGUAAUGGGGAAAGAAGCACCGGCUAACGACG